UGUAUGGUUAAGUGACUAAGCGUACACGGUGGAUGCCUGGGCAGUCAGAGGCGAUGAAGGACGUACUAACUUGCGAUAAGCGCAGAUAAGGCAGUAAGAGCCGUUUGAGUCUGCGAUUUCCGAAUGGGGAAACCCAACUGCAUAAGCAGUUACUGUUAACUGAAUACAUAGGUUAACAGAGCAAACCGGGGGAACUGAAACAUCUAAGUACCCCGAGGAGAAGAAAUCAACCGAGAUUCCGGUAGUAGCGGCGAGCGAACCUGGAUUAGCCCUUAAGCACUCGGUGAAGUAGGUGAACAAGCUGGAAAGCUUGGCGAUACAGGGUGAUAGCCCCGUAACCGACGCUUCAUCGAGCGUGAAAUCGAGUAGGGCGGGACACGUGAUAUCCUGUCUGAAUAUGGGGGGACCAUCCUCCAAGGCUAAAUACUCCUGACUGACCGAUAGUGAACCAGUAC
rnacentral:rRNA from 1 species